ACAAAUUUUGUUAAAUUAUUAAAAUUCACAAAGAUAAAAAUUCCCUGUACUUUUUUUAUUCUUCCUUAAUAAAGUUCACCUCUUCCCAACCGAAACCGAGAGAAACAAAAAAAUUGAAAUUUACCUAUAUUUUUUCAAAUUAAUAUAACGAUUUAUUGUUUGUCUUAGAGUAAUAAAUAAACUAGACAGGUCAUAUUCGUUUUGAGGUCUAUUAGAAAACCGGUUGCCUGGACGAUUAAGCAUGAAAAAAAAUGUCAUUGUUGUGUUUUUAAUUGCUUUGGCCGUUAUAUGCACAAUAAACGAUACGAGGUGUAACGGCAGACUCACUGCGGUCGAAGUAAAUCAUGUCAACUACAUUAGUAGACAGCAACAUUGGGAAGAAAUGUGGUUCAAUAAGGUGAAAACUUCCGGAUGGCACUGGACAAAGAUAACUAGAAUAUCGAAUGGAGGUCCCAAAUUCGGGCCAAUAGAUAAGUUAAGGGUUAUACCUUACAUGAUGGGAUGCGCAUACGGGCAAAAAUUGAACGACUUUCUCAGAUUAACGGUUCACACGAUGGAUGAGUGUAACGGAAUUCGACAAAAGUUUGUCGCCGAAGACUGUUGGAGUAAAUUGACGACCAGCAUGAAAACAGGUGCGUCGAUUAUGGCAAACUUGUUGGGCGUGUUCAGGUUGCUCCAUUCUUUUGACAUGAGUGUCGUUCCAAGUUUAUUUUUCGAACCUAUGGGGAGGAUUCGCGUAUUUCUCGAAACAGAAGGGCUUAACUGGCCAAUCAUGUCCGUUGCGAAUUUCUUGGAGACCCUUUUAAUCACAGAAUGUCAACCCGCACACAGCGUAGUCGAUACCGGUGUGUUAGCGGUUGAAUAUAGAAAUUUAAAUACCAUAAUUAACCUCUACGAUUUUUAUGUAAACAAGCUGAAUUCCUAUACUGGAUAUAUAUGCCAGCACUUGGGCCAGCUUGGUUUUCGGCAUAACGCGGCGACAAACGUGACUACGUUUAUUACUCCUAACCUAAAUGAAUAAUAUCGCUAAAUUCAGUAAUAAGAAAACGCAGGCUAGAUUAUAUUUUAAAUGUUAUUAAAAAAAAAAAAAAUUAUAAAAGAGUA